rnacentral:rRNA from 1 species
GGGUCAGUAGGUUGGUCGUGCCACCGGUACGUACUGGUCUCACUGAUUCCCCCUUCCUGAAGAACCGUAGUGCCAUUAAUUUGGUGUUGCGGGGAAACAGGACUGUUACUUUGAAAAAAUUAGAGUGUUUAAAGCAAGUUAAUGCUUGAAUACAUUAGCAUGGAAUAAUGAAAUAGGACGAUCGAUCCUAUUUUGUUGGUUUCUAGGAUUGACGUA